rnacentral:lncRNA from 1 species
AUGGGCAGAGGGGGGUGGCUGGCUGCAGGGAACGGGGUGGGGGACCAGAUCCAUGCAGGCCACGUUUCCCCUGGCAGGUGUGUCAGGCGUGGGCCUGUGAAGUGUGGACUCUGGUGCACCUGCGAGAGCACAGGGCUGCCCUUGCCGCCCAGGACACAGCUCAGCCACCACCGCAGGGCCCUGGGGGACCCGGGACAGCAAGUCUGCAGUCAGCCAGCCAGAGGUGGAGGUCACAGGAGCCGCAGCGCGGGGGCCUGCAGCCGGCGUGGAGAUGCCAGCCCGAUGGCCAUCUCGAGCAGCGCUGCUCUCUGCUCCUCUCCCUCCCAGCGGACACCGCGGAAAGCUGGCGGGCACUUGUCCCCAUGUAGCAUGUGGCCCGUGCCUGCCGAGUGUCUCCGGUCCUCUGCUCUCUGUUCCCAUGGAGGGGGGCAGUGUGUGAGAUUACUCAUCCGCUUCCCUGGACAAAAAUCUGGAAAACUCUCCUGGAGGAGCCGGAGUUGUGUCCGGGGUACUCUCCUCCUUCGUAGCUGCUUCGUUUCAAAGCUCUCGGGGUAUGUGGUUGCCUAAGAGCUUGGGUGACUCCUGGGAAAGAAUGUGUUCUGGCUGAGAAAGCAGGUCUGGGAAUUCAGAGUUCCGGCUUCCGUUCCUGGGUGGGGAGGUCACCAUGGUGACGUGUGACUGGCCACUCAGCAUCUCAGCCAAGCUUUCCCUAUCUGUGAAAUGGACACAAAGGCCGCUGGCCCGGGCUGUGUGUGUGACGCUCUGCUGGGAACGGCUGCUCUAGUGACCUAUUAACACCGGACAUGGGGUGGGCUGACCUCAUUUCUAUUUCUGGCUCUGGGCUGACUCAGUGAGAAGCUGGUAGAAAUCAGUUCAUCUGGCCCUGGUCCCCCUGCGCUGCACUGGCAGAGUGAGAGUUAUAAAAUCAUAUUCUCUGCCUCCUCGCGAUACAGCCAAUAUUAAUUAAGUACCC